GCUAAGAAUCUUCCGCAAUGGGGGAAACCCUGACGGAGCGACGCCGCGUGGACGAUGAAGGCCGUAAGGUUGUAAAGUCCUUUUCCUGGUGAAGAAUAGGCGGGGGAGUGGAAAGCCCCCGUGAUGACGUUAGCCAGGGAAUAAGCCCCGGCCAAUUACGUGCCAGCAGCCGCGGUAAUACGUAUGGGGCAAGCGUUGUUCGGAGUUAUUGGGCGUAAAGGGCGUGUAGGCGGCUCUUCAAGUCUGGUGUGAAAGCGCAGGGCUCAACCCUGCGUGUGCGCUGGAAACUGGAGGGCUUGAGUUUCGAGGGGGAAGCUGGAAUUCCUGGUGUAGGAGUGAAAUCUGUAGAUAUCAGGAGGAACACCGGUGGCGAAGGCGAGCUUCUACUCGUGAACUGACGCUGAGGCGCGAAAGCGUGGGGAGCAAACAGGAUUAGAUACCCCGGUAGUCC
rnacentral:rRNA from 1 species